rnacentral:rRNA from 1 species
CCUACGGGUGGCAGCAGUGAGGAAUAUUGGUCAAUGGGCGGAAGCCUGAACCAGCCAAGUAGCGUGCAGGAUGACGGCCCUACGGGUUGUAAACUGCUUUUAUACGGGAAUAACGCCCCUUACGUGUAGGGCUUUGCAUGUACCGUAUGAAUAAGGACCGGCUCAUUCCGUGCCAGCAGCCGCGGUAAUACGGUAGGUCCGGGCGUUACCCGGAUUUUUGGGGUUUAAAGGGAGCGUAGGCCGCAUGUCAAGCGUGCGGUGAAGUGUCCGGGCUCAACCCGGGCCGUGCAGCGCGAACUGGCGUGCUGGAGUGCGCGGAAAGCAGGCGGAAUUCGUCGUGUAGCGGUGAAAUGCUUAGAUAUGACGAAGAACCCCGAUUGCGAAGGCAGCUUGCUGCAGCGGAACUGACGCUGAUGCUCGAAAGCGCGGGUAGCGAACAGGAUUAGAUACCCUUGUAGUC